CAAUUCGAUUCUUCCUUUCAUGUUUCUGAAAUGAGACUCUGAUUAAUUUGACCUAAAGAUCAUUCGUUAGUUGUUAUUUCAGAGGCAGCAUGACCUCUCACCAAAAUGGACCAGAGAAGCUAAGGCCGUAACUUCCAAGCUCCAGCUGAGUGUAUCUGGGGGGGAGGGGUACCCCAAAGAUGCACUGGGGACCUCCUCCACCAAGUUCCCAGGUCUGCAGCUCCCGGAGGCAGCUGUCUGCCUUCAGGGAACCCUCUCGCAGCGCUCACCCGGUGGCCGUGGUGAUGUUGUCGCCCACCCGCUUCCCGCCUCCAGCCCAGCAGCGCUGAGCUUCUCCGCGUCCGUUUCGCACUGGCUGGCCAAUUGGUGAAAUCGUGGUGGGGAGGGCUAAUCGCAGCCGGGUGCCCAUUUCCUGACCACUCCCAGGCUCGCCGAUUGCGUGCACCUGACAAGGGAAAAAUUCGGGCCAUGAGGUUGCAGCUAUAUCUGCUGCUGAUGCGUUGUGUUGUGAAAAUACUGUGAUAGGUUUUCUCCUGGAGGCAUCAGAAAGACUAAUCCGCUAUUAUUUGAAUUCCAUCCAUCCUCACCCACUCACUCCUUGUUCGAGAUGUUGAACCGACAUUUUGAUUGACGUAGCUAAGCAUCGGACUUGCCAGAAGAGUUGUCAUCCCCUUAGUUUAAUAGUCUGAAGAUUUCAACUGAUUAAGCAUUGUAAAGUUUCAUGGUUUGCAGAUAUGACUGAGGAGAGCAUUCCAAAUUCACAGAAUCACAGAAUUGUUACAGCACAGAAGGUGACCAUUCAGCCCAUUGUGUCUGCACCAGCUCUCCAAAUCCCUUCGUGUCAUUCUCCCAUCUUCUCUCCGUAACCCUGCACAUUCUUCCUUUUCAGAAAACAGUCUAAUUCCCUUUUGAAAGAUUUGAUUGUGCCUGCCUCUGCCACACUCUCAGGCAGUGCAUUCCAGACCUUAACCACUGGCUGUGUGAGAAGGUUUUCUCUCAUGUCGCUUUUGCUUUUUUUUUGCCAAUUACUUUUAAAUCUGUCCCCUCUCGUUCUUGGUCCUUUCACAAGUGACAACAGUUUCACCCUAUCUGCUCUGUCCAGACCACUCAUGAUUUUGAAUGCCUUUAGCAAAUCUCCUCUCAGCCUUCUUUUCUCCAAGUAAAACAGUCCUAACUUCUCCAAUCUAUCUUCAUAUCUGAAGUUGCUCACCCCUGGACACAUUCUCAGUGAAAUUUUUCUGCACUCUCCCCAAUGCUCUCACGUCAUUCCUAAAGAGCAGUGCCCAGACCUGGACCCAAUACUCUAGCUGACAUUGAAUGAGUGACUUAUACAAGUUCUACAUAACCUCCUUGCUCUUGUACUCUAUGCCUCUAUUAAUAAAGCCUAGGAUACUGUAUGGUUCAUUAACCUGUCCUGCCACCUUCAAUGACUUAUGCACAUACACACCCAGGUCUCUCUGCUCCGGCACCCUGUUUAGAAUUGUACCCUUUAUUUUAUAAUUUCUCUCCAUAUUUUUCCUAGCAAAAUGACUCACUUCACAUUUCUCCACAUUGAACUUCAUCUGCCGCCUUUUUGCUCACUCACUUAACCUCUCUAUAUCUCUUUGCAGCCACCUGUGUCCUCCUCACAGCUUACAUCUGCCCUUAUACUUCCUUUUGUAGCCUGGUGUCGAAGCUUUGUUUUAUAGCACUCCUGUGAAACAACUUGGGAUGUUUUAUCAUAUUAAAGGUGCUAUAUAAAUGCAACUAGUUAAAGUCGAAAUGAGAGAUUGGGGAACCCCACCCACGCAGAAAUUCUACCACUUAAUUUAUAUUGUUCCAUGAUGAGUAAGCCAGCGUGAGAAAUUUCAUUCAGCAGGUGGCAUAGUGGUAUUGUCACUGGGCUAGUAGACUUAUGGUAAUGCUCUGGGGACCUGGGUUUGAAUCCCACCA